rnacentral:rRNA from 1 species
GGAAAGGCGCGCGAUACAGGGUGACAGCCCCGUACACAAAAAUGCACAUGCUGUGAGCUCGAUGAGUAGGGCGGGACACGUGGUAUCCUGUCUGAAUAUGGGGGGACCAUCCUCCAAGGCUAAAUACUCCUGACUGACCGAUAGUGAACCAGUACCGUGAGGGAAAGGCGAAAAGAACCCCGGCGAGGGGAGUGAAAAAGAACCUGAAACCGUGUACGUACAAGCAGUGGGAGCACGCUUAGGCGUGUGACUGCGUACCUUUUGUAUAAUGGGUCAGCGACUUAUAUUCUGUAGCAAGGUUAACCGAAUAGGGGAGCCGAAGGGAAACCGAGUCUUAACUGGGCGUUAAGUUGCAGGGUAUAGACCCGAAACCCGGUGAUCUAGCCAUGGGCAGGUUGAAGGUUGGGUAACACUAACUGGAGGACCGAACCGACUAAUGUUGAAAAAUUAGCGGAUGACUUGUGGCUGGGGGUGAAAGGCCAAUCAAACCGGGAGAUAGCUGGUUCUCCCCGAAAGCUAUUUAGGUAGCGCCUCGUGAAUUCAUCUCCGGGGGUAGAGCACUGUUUCGGCAAGGGGGUCAUCCCGACUUACCAACCCGAUGCAAACUGCGAAUACCGGAGAAUGUUAUCACGGGAGACACACGGCGGGUGCUAACGUCCGUCGUGAAGAGGGAAACAACCCAGACCGCCAGCUAAGGUCCCAAAGUCAUGGUUAAGUGGGAAACGAUGUGGGAAGGCCCAGACAGCCAGGAUGUUGGCUUAGAAGCAGCCAUCAUUUAAAGAAAGCGUAAUAGCUCACUGGUCGAGUCGGCCUGCGCGGAAGAUGUAACGGGGCUAAACCAUGCACCGAAGCUGCGGCAGCGACGCUGAUGCGUUGUUGGGUAGGGGAGCGUUCUGUAAGCCUGCGAAGGUGUGCUGUGAGGCAUGCUGGAGGUAUCAGAAGUGCGAAUGCUGACAUAAGUAACGAUAAAGCGGGUGAAAAGCCCGCUCGCCGGAAGACCAAGGGUUCCUGUCCAACGUUAAUCGGGGCAGGGUGAGUCGACCCCUAAGGCGAGGCCGAAAGGCGUAGUCGAUGGGAAACAGGUUAAUAUUCCUGUACUUGGUGUUACUGCGAAGGGGGGACGGAGAAGGCUAUGUUGGCCGGGCGACGGUUGUCCCGGUUUAAGCGUGUAGGCUGGUUUUCCAGGCAAAUCCGGAAAAUCAAGGCUGAGGCGUGAUGACGAGGCACUACGGUGCUGAAGCAACAAAUGCCCUGCUUCCAGGAAAAGCCUCUAAGCAUCAGGUAACAUCAAAUCGUACCCCAAACCGACACAGGUGGUCAGGUAGAGAAUACCAAGGCGCUUGAGAGAACUCGGGUGAAGGAACUAGGCAAAAUGGUGCCGUAACUUCGGGAGAAGGCACGCUGAUAUGUAGGUGAAGUCCCUCGCGGAUGGAGCUGAAAUCAGUCGAAGAUACCAGCUGGCUGCAACUGUUUAUUAAAAACACAGCACUGUGCAAACACGAAAGUGGACGUAUACGGUGUGACGCCUGCCCGGUGCCGGAAGGUUAAUUGAUGGGGUUAGCGCAAGCGAAGCUCUUGAUCGAAGCCCCGGUAAACGGCGGCCGUAACUAUAACGGUCCUAAGGUAGCGAAAUUCCUUGUCGGGUAAGUUCCGACCUGCACGAAUGGCGUAAUGAUGGCCAGGCUGUCUCCACCCGAGACUCAGUGAAAUUGAACUCGCUGUGAAGAUGCAGUGUACCCGCGGCAAGACGGAAAGACCCCGUGAACCUUUACUAUAGCUUGACACUGAACAUUGAGCCUUGAUGUGUAGGAUAGGUGGGAGGCUUAGAAGUGUGGACGCCAGUCUGCAUGGAGCCGACCUUGAAAUACCACCCUUUAAUGUUUGAUGUUCUAACGUGGACCCGUAAUCCGGGUUGCGGACAGUGUCUGGUGGGUAGUUUGACUGGGGCGGUCUCCUCCUAAAGAGUAACGGAGGAGCACGAAGGUUGGCUAAUCCUGGUCGGACAUCAGGAGGUUAGUGCAAUGGCAUAAGCCAGCUUGACUGCGAGCGUGACGGCGCGAGCAGGUGCGAAAGCAGGUCAUAGUGAUCCGGUGGUUCUGAAUGGAAGGGCCAUCGCUCAACGGAUAAAAGGUACUCCGGGGAUAACAGGCUGAUACCGCCCAAGAGUUCAUAUCGACGGCGGUGUUUGGCACCUCGAUGUCGGCUCAUCACAUCCUGGGGCUGAAGUAGGUCCCAAGGGUAUGGCUGUUCGCCAUUUAAAGUGGUACGCGAGCUGGGUUUAGAACGUCGUGAGACAGUUCGGUCCCUAUCUGCCGUGGGCGCUGGAGAACUGAGGGGGGCUGCUCCUAGUACGAGAGGACCGGAGUGGACGCAUCACUGGUGUUCGGGUUGUCAUGCCAAUGGCACUGCCCGGUAGCUAAAUGCGGAAGAGAUAAGUGCUGAAAGCAUCUAAGCACGAAACUUGCC